rnacentral:rRNA from 1 species
CGUUCAGGGGUAAACCUGUGAAACUCGAAUGAACGAACGGGGAGAUUCAUCGUCAUUCGGAGGGCGGCGCUGGCGUCGCGCGAUGGAUUGCCCUCCGGCGGCCUCGGUCGUCCGGUGUGAGCCGUCCACGCGCGCGCUCCGCGCAGUCGGCCCUUCGACGGCGUGCACUUCUCCCUUAGUAAUGCAUCGCGACCCGCUCGAUACCGGCCUAAGCCCCGUUCGGGAGACCGCGGCGUAUACAAUGCGCUGCGGACCGCGACGGCGGCCGGCCGGUUGUUGGGCGGUAUUGAACGCGAAACACGCACGCGCUCGUCGCGUCCGGCCCGACGCAAGGUCGUCGCGAGACCAGUGCUGCGCCCGAGUGCGCGCAUCCGGUCUCCGGCGCCUGCUUUGUGGCAGCCGUGCCGUCUCGGACGUGCGUGUAUCCAGUCAUGCGAUGUUUUUGUUUCGGGCACUCACAGGACCCGUCUUGAAACACGGACCAAGGAGUCUAGCAUGUGUGCGAGUCACUAGGUGUUAAAACCGAAGGGCGCAACGAAAGUGAAGGCGAGCGCUUGUCGCUCGCUCGGGGAGGAUGGCGGUCGGCUCUCAAGGCCGCCGCCCGCACUCCCGAGGCGUCCCGUUCGCAAUCUGUCGAUGUGGGCGCGCUCAGAGCACAGAUGCUGGGACCCGAAAGAUGGUGAACUAUGCCUGGUCAGGUCGAAGUCAGGGGAAACCCUGAUGGAGGACCGUAGCGAUUCUGACGUGCAAAUCGAUCGUCGGAACUGGGUAUAGGGGCGAAAGACUAAUCGAACCAUC